UUGGGGGGGAAUGGGCCAACAUCCCCGUGUGCCAUCCCGGCCGGGUCGAAUUUUCUUCCGUGGCCCAUGUAUGCGUUCGCCUGGGCCGGGGUGGGAGUAAUUCUCCACCCAAUCCACACCAAUCCCACGGGGAGAGAAAAAUCGCCUCGGAGACGAUUUUUUUUUCCAAGCCAGCCGCAGCGCUCGGCCUCCUCGACUCCUCGCUGCGCUAGGGUUUGGAGGCGGCGUGAGGUCCGGGAGGCGACGCGAGGUCCGGGAGGCGGCUCUAGGGUGGAGAUCCAGGAGCAGCAUAUCUCCAGCCGCUGCCGCUCUCCAUCCCGCCCUCGGUCGCCGACGAUCUCCAUCCAGCUUCAGCCGCCACCGGUCUCCAUCCCGUCCUCAGCCGCCGCCGGUCUCCAUCCCGCUUCAGCCGCCGCCACCGCUCUCCUUCCCGCUCUCCAUCCCAGCCAGUCGCCGGCGCUCGCCAUCUCUCCUUCCUCGCUUCGGAUUCACCGGUUGCGGGAGAGGGCAAGGUCGAGGGCAACAGCCCGGACACCAAGAAGCAGGAGAGGCACAGGCGUGUGGGGUUGGCAAAAGUAAAGCUGAAGGAGUUGAUAUUACUCAAGUGAUAAAAUCAGUUCGAGAAUGGCGGAUGAAAUUAAAAGGAGGAGAGAAGAGGACGAUGAUAUGAUGCUUUUUGUUUUUCCUGCGAUGUAUAUGCUGUGCGGUAUGACAAAUAGUGAGAAAAUACCUAGACAUAUCUCAAGACUAUCCGGUAAAGAGCGGCUUCAAGAAAUCCUUGAAGGACAUGUAAUGGAUUGUAAAGUUGCAUUCCGCAUGGAGCCUCAUGUUUUCAAGACAAUAGCGAAUUAUCUUAGAGAGGAAAAGUUGUUAAAGGAUAGUAGAGGCUUGAGGAUUGAGGAGAA